rnacentral:rRNA from 1 species
UACGUAGGGUGCGAGCGUUGUCCGGAAUUACUGGGCGUAAAGAGCUCGCAGGUGGUUUGUCGCGUUGUUCGUGAAAACUCACAACUCAAUUGUGGGCGUGCGGGCGAUACGGGCAGACUGGAGUACUGCAGGGGAGACUGGAAUUCCUGGUGUAGCGGUGGAAUGCGCAGAUAUCAGGAGGAACACCGGUGGCGAAGGCGGGUCUCUGGACGGUGACUGACGCUGAGACGCGAAAGCGUGGGGAGCAAACAGG